CAGCAGCCGCGGUAAUACGGAGGGAGCUAGCGUUGUUCGGAAUUACUGGGCGUAAAGCGCACGUAGGCGGUUAUUCAAGUCAGAGGUGAAAGCCCGGGGCUCAACCCCGGAACUGCCUUUGAAACUAGAUGACUAGAAUCUUGGAGAGGUCAGUGGAAUUCCGAGUGUAGAGGUGAAAUUCGUAGAUAUUCGGAAGAACACCAGUGGCGAAGGCGACUGACUGGACAAGUAUUGACGCUGAGGUACGAAAGCGUGGGGAGCAAACAGGAUUAGAUACCCCCGUAGUCCCUGUCUCUUAUAC
rnacentral:rRNA from 1 species